CCUACGGGAGGCAGCAGUAGGGAAUUUUGCGCAAUGGGCGAAAGCCUGACGCAGCAACGCCGCGUGAUUGAUUAAGCACUUCGGGGUGUAAAGCUCUGUCAGUAGGGACGAAACUUGACGGUACCCACUGAGAAACCACCGGCUAACUCCGGGCCAGCAGCGGCGGUAAUACGGAGGGGGCAAGCGUUUUCCGGAAUCAUUGGUGGUAAAGGGUGCGUAGGUGGCAUAAUAAGUCUGGAGUUAAAUGCCGAAGCUCAACUCCUGUUCGGCACUGGAAACUGGUAAGCUUGAAUGCGGUAGAGGUAAAGGGAAUUCCUGGUGUAGCGGUGAAAUGCGUAGAUAUUAGGAGGAACAUCGGUGGCGUAAGCGCUUUACUGGGCCGUAAUUGACACUGAGGAACGAAAGCCGGGGUAGCAAAUGGGAUUAGAUACCCCUGUAGUC
rnacentral:rRNA from 1 species